GCCAUAUAAUGUUGAAACACCGGUUUCCGUAUGAUUACCUAAGUUAAACAGCGUCGAGCUUGGUCAGUACCGAGAUGGGUGAUUGCUUGGGAAUAUCAGAUGCUGU